UACGAAGGGGGGCUAGCGUUGCUCGGAAUCACUGGGCGUAAAGCGCACGUAGGCGGAUUGUUAAGUCGGGGGUGAAAUCCUGGAGCUCAACUCCAGAACUGCCUUCGAUACUGGCGAUCUUGAGUCCGGGAGAGGUGAGUGGAACUCCGAGUGUAGAGGUGAAAUUCGUAGAUAUUCGGAAGAACACCAGUGGCGAAGGCGGCGACCUGGGCCAAUAUUGACGCUGAGGUGGCGAAA
rnacentral:rRNA from 1 species